rnacentral:rRNA from 1 species
GACCUCGGAUCAGGUAGGGAUACCCGCUGAACUUAAGCAUAUCAAUAAGCGGAGGAAAAGAAACCAACAGGGAUUGCCUCAGUAACGGCGAGUGAAGCGGCAACAGCUCAAAUUUGAAAUCUGGCCUUAAGCGGGGUCCGAAUUGUAAUUUGCAGAGGGCGUUUCGGGCGACGCGCCGGUCUAAGUCCCUUGGAACGGGGCGUCAUAGAGGGUGAGAAUCCCGUAUGUGACCGGCGACCGAGCCUGUGUGAAACCCCUUCGACGAGUCGAGUUGUUUGGGAAUGCAGCUCAAAGCGGGUGGUAAAUUUCAUCUAAAGCUAAAUACCGGCCAGAGACCGAUAGCGCACAAGUAGAGUGAUCGAAAGAUGAAAAGCACUUUGGAAAGAGAGUCAAAAAGUACGUGAAAUUGUUGAAAGGGAAGCGCUUGCAACCAGACCUGCCCGCGGGUGAUCAGCCGUCCUUCGGGGCGGUGCACUCACCCGCGAUCAGGCCAGCAUCGGUUCGGGCGGCCGGAUAAAGGCCUUGGGAACGUGGCUCCCCUCGGGGAGCGUUAUAGCCCAGGGUGCAAUGCGGCCCGCCCGGACCGAGGACCGCGCUUCGGCUAGGAUGCUGGCGUAAUGGUUGUAAGCGGCCCGUCUUGAAACACGGACCAAGGAGUCGACCAACCGUGCGAGUGUUUGGGCGUCAAACCCACACGCGCAAUGAAAGUGAACGGAGGUGGGAACCCCUCGCGGGGCGCACCAUCGACCGAUCCAGAUGUCUUCGGAUGGAUUUGAGUACGAGCAUGGCUGGUCGGACCCGAAAGAUGGUGAACUAUGCCUGGAUAGGGUGAAGCCAGAGGAAACUCUGGUGGAGGCUCGCAGCGGUUCUGACGUGCAAAUCGAUCGUCAAAUUUGGGCAUAGGGGCGAAAGACUAAUCGAACCAUCUAGUAGCUGGUUCCAGCCGAAUUC